AAACACGCCGGAAACAAUAUGCGCCCCGAACCGCGGGCGCGCUUAUUCGAUAAUAAAAAGCGACACGCACGAAACGUCAGAAAGUGAAACUCUCAAGUGGGCAUACACAUACUGCAUGCGAAUGCUCGCCAUUUUAUGAUUGCCAAUGCAUGAAAAACAAGAGAAGCGAAAUAUUUCCACUGAUAUAAAAUUUUAUGGCGCACUUAAGUCAAACUCUUACCACAUCAACUCUGAUGCAAUAUUUAAUUGAAACCAACCGAGUCGCAAUUAGGGAGAAAUGUGAGAAUAGCAACGGCGCAACGCGCUAUCCGAACCAAUGCAGCGUGCAACCGAUAAUUACACCAAGUAAUGGUUUGUUAACGCGAAGCGAACGCAAAAUUAUUACUGGUUUGCAAAGAUUAUUUAAUCCAUGCACGGGUUUGGAGCUCUUUUAGCGGGUUGCCUAAUCGCUGGCAUAUCGACAUGCUGGCGCACAGGAACAAUCGGGAUUAUUCAGCGCAGACUAAAAUGGAGUCAACCCUUCUGUCCCGGAAGCCUUUAAGAAUAGAAAAACUAACAUCCGAGCACGCAGCGUCGAGAAACUAAUUGCACCAUCCGUUCCGACUUUCCCACAUUCCAUUAUCUGGCAAAACACGAGCAUUUCCCACCGACCGAGUUAAGUUCGCUGCCGGCUGGCCAGCCUACAAAAAACUACAAUGUCAUUUUCUAUUGAAAACGGCGCACAGGACAUGGCAGAAGACGGAAGAAUACAAAGAACAAACACGAAAAACGAGUGUGCGUGUUGCGUUGUCCAUUAUUGUGCUUAGCGAGGUCAGCAGGAAGCAGAAAAACAUUCUUGUGCGUUUUGGUGUCAAGCUUUGACUUUUCUCCUUUCUCUG